CCUUUUUGGGCGUGGAAAGAUGGCGGUAAAAGCCACAAUGCGCAGGCGUCAUCGCUCACUUCUCCCCUCCCGGCUUCUGCUCCACCUGACGCCUGCGCAGUAAGUAAGCCUGCCAGACACGCUGUGGCGGCUGCCUGAAGCUAGUGAGUCGCGGCGCCGCGCACUUGUGGUUGGGUCAGUGCCGCGCGCCGCUCGGUCGUUACCGCGAGGCGCUGGUGGCCUUCAGGCUGGACGGCGCGGGUCAGCCCUGGUUUGCCGGCUUCUGGGUCUUUGAACAGCCGCGAUGUCGAUCUUCACCCCCACCAACCAGAUCCGCCUAACCAAUGUGGCCGUGGUACGGAUGAAGCGCGCCAGGAAGCGCUUCGAAAUCGCCUGCUACAAAAACAAGGUCGUCGGCUGGCGGAGCGGCUUAUUUUGACUAAAGGAGAAGUUCAAGUAUCAGAUAAAGACACACACAACUGGAGCAGAUGUUUAGGGACAUUGCAAUUAUUGUGGCAGACAAAUGUGUGACUCCUGAAACAAAGAGACCAUACACCGUGAUCCUUAUUGAGAGAGCCAUGAAGGACAUCCACUAUUUGGUGAAAACCAACAGGAGUACAAAACAGCAGGCUUUGGAAGUGAUAAAGCAGUUAAAAGAGAAAAUGAAGAUAGAACGUGCUCACAUGAGGCUUCAGUUCAUCCUUCCAGUGAAUGAAGGCAAGAAGCUGAAAGAAAAGCUCAAGCCACUGAUCAAGGUCAUAGAAAGUAAAGAUUAUGGCCAACAGUUAGAAAUCGUAAGAGUCAAAUAUUUUCUUUGCUUCAUGUUACCUAAAUAUUGUAUUCUCUAGUAAUAAAUUUGUAGCAAACAUUCA
rnacentral:lncRNA from 1 species